rnacentral:lncRNA from 1 species
CUUCGAGUGACCUUAGACCUGCUGGUAGAGCCCAACCCCAGCAGUUGCUCGGCAGGUUUGCUCGUUUGCGCUCUUCUUGGAGCCGCGGCAACUCAGGGGCUGCCUGCCGGACCGUCAGAAUCUGCCGCCUUCACAGACGCGUCUUCAGCCACAGGGAGCAGUUCUCCACGCUUUUGCUGGAAAACCCCCCCAAGUACAAACUCAGCGCAAACCUCGUGAGCUCCAGAAGCUGACUCAUCUCUCAAACUUUCCUACUUACACUAAUUUUUCCUUCGUUUUCUUUUGAGCAAUACGUAUCUUUCUCUUUUUCUGAGUUUUUAUGAUUUUGUCCUGGGUUUGUUUGUGCCUAUUGUCUAAUUAGGAUUUCGCUACACCGUAGUGUUAGGGUCGUGCUAUUCUCAAACAUCUCUUUUUCAGACGAACUUUUUUUUUUGCCACUUCUGAAUCUGGGAGUUAGUAUUCUUUAAAUAUGAGGUAAUUUUUCUGAAUUUCAUUUGAUGACUACAAUACCAUAUGGAUUAUAUUUCCAAUAAUCAGAGCUAGUUAUUUAUUUUGAGUAACAGCAUUCAUUGAGUUUUGAUGAUAAACAUUUUGAUUAUUAGUAUAAAUACUAUUUUGUACAGUGGGAAUGGGACAUACCGUGUUCAAUUGCUGAUGGGCCUGUCAUCCCAGGAGACUUUAAGCAAUUACAGUGACCUCCGACAACCGCGUGUGCAUUGGCAUGCAAACGUCUCCAAGAGCCAUUGAGCCAAAACACUGCCAGAGGCUCCGUGUGACACCAGCCAAGCCCUGUUACUUGGGGGUCGUGAGUGUGACAUGCACCCACGGGAGAGGCAAGCACCCACCUGAGGACCAAGGGUGGGGCUGGGGGGCUGCCGCAGGCCCUGGCGUUUUCCUCGAUGCUUCCUCAUCCUGGGUGCUUUAUAAGAUGUGCUCUACGCUCACCCUCUCCACGAUCAACAAGACACAGGCGUGUUCCGGUCCCCGUGUGUGGUCACGUCAGCCAGCGUGCACGUCGGAGUUGGUGCAGCCUGGGGCUCUGGUUUUCUCUCUGGAAGGAAAGGCCACAGAGAACCAUCCGAAUCAUUUUCAGGAACAGUUGGGUUACUUGCAGCUGCGCCUGUCAUGAGAGUCUGGGCUCAUGAAUUUUAUUGUGCUGAGUCCCGCUAGAGAAGGACUUUACAAACCUGUAUUUUUCUUACCUCAUAAUAAAAGCACCAGGAAGUGAGCA